CCACAUUGGGGCGCAGCCUGAUGGAGCACACCGCGUGAGUGAAGAAGGGUUUCGGCUCGUAAAGCUCUGUUGUUCCAGAAGAACACGUAUGAGAGUAACUGUUCAUACGUUGACGGUAUUUAACCAGAAAGUCACGGCUAACUACGUGCCAGCAGCCGCGGUAAUACGUAGGUGGCAAGCGUUAUCCGGAUUUAUUGGGCGUAAAGAGAGUGCAGGCGGUUUUCUAAGUCUGAUGUGAAAGCCUUCGGCUUAACCGGAGAAGUGCAUCGGAAACUGGAUAACUUGAGUGCAGAAGAGGGUAGUGGAACUCCAUGUGUAGCGGUGGAAUGCGUAGAUAUAUGGAAGAACACCAGUGGCGAAGGCGGCUACCUGGUCUGCAACUGACGCUGAGACUCGAAAGCAUGGGUAGCGAACAGGAUUAGAUACCCUGGUAGUCCAUGCCGUAAACGAUGAGUGCUAGGUGUUGGAGGGUUUCCGCCCUUCAGUGCCGGAGCUAACGCAUUAAGCACUCCGCCUGGGGAGUACGACCGCAAGGUUGAAACUCAAAGAAAUUGACGG
rnacentral:rRNA from 2 species